rnacentral:rRNA from 1 species
AGGAUGAACGCUGGCGGCGUGCUUAACACAUGCAAGUCGAACGGUGAAGUGAGGAGCUUGCUCCUUGCGGAUCAGUGGCGAACGGGUGAGUAACACGUGAGUAACCUGCCCUUGACUCUGGGAUAAGCGUUGGAAACGACGUCUAAUACCGGAUACGACCUCCGAAGGCAUCUUGUGGAGGUGGAAAGAUUUCGGCAAGGAUGGACUCGCGGCCUAUCAGCUAGUUGGUGAGGUAAUGGCCCACCAAGGCGACGACGGGUA